AUUUAGAAAGAAAGAAAUUUAAUAUAUAUAUAUAUAUAUUAAAUAAAUAUCUAAAUUUAAGUAUAUCAUUUACAAUGAUAAGAUGUUUUUUAACUUUAUUUAAA
rnacentral:tRNA from 1 species